rnacentral:pre_miRNA from 1 species
AUCAGCUGGGGAUCUUGUUGAAAUGCAGAUUCUGAUUCAGUAGUUUUGAGGUAAAACCUCAGAUUCUACGUUUUUAACAAGCUCCCAGUGAUGCUGA